AGACAAGUCGUGCUGCUCUCUGGUCAAGGAUUUGUUUGGAGAGCCAUGAUCAUCCCCAUCUGGUGACUUUAAAGUACUUGCCUUAAGAGAUGUGAAAACAUAUGUCCACACAAAAACUUGCACAUGAAUGUUCCCAGCAGUAUUAUUCCUAAUAUCCAAAAAAGUGGAAACAACCCAAAUGUCCAUCAACUGAUGAAUGGAUAAACAGAAAUGUAUUUAUGCCGUGGAAUGUUAUUCAGCCAUAAAAAGGAAUGAAGCACUGAUGCAUGCUGCAACAUGGAUGAACCCUGAGAACAGUAUGCUAAGUGAAAGAAGCCGGACACAAGAGGCCACAUAGUGAAGCCAGCCUUGCCUCAGGGAGGUUUGGUUUGGGGGCUGAAUGCAGAAGUUGUGCAGAGAAGCUGGCUUAUGUUUUCUGGAAGCCUGGAGCCUGGGAGGGCUUGGAGAUUAGUGGACUCCAGGCACUGCAGACCGGAAGGUGCUCCCUACGGUGCCUGCGGCAGGUGGCACGAUGGCAGGACUUCUAUGGCGAGGUUUCGUCGUGUCUCAGAGGCUUAGGGCCUCGGCCUAGGAUUCCCAGCUUCAGCCAAGAUUCCCAAGCUUGGAACGGAAGCUGCCACAAGCCUGCCUCUCUACAGGGACCCACUGGGGAUAUCAGCAGAAGACUUGGUCUCAGGAGAAGAGAGGACCCAUCCUCAUUUUCCAGGCCCACGUAACCUCCUGGAUUUUCACACGUCCCCAGGGAAGGGGACAGCCUGCCCCACC
rnacentral:lncRNA from 1 species